UUCUUAUCCAGAGUGGUGGAGGGACUGGCCCGAUGAAGCCCGGCAACCUGCUGAUCUUUUCGAUUGGCAAGGUGCCAACUCCUGCAAGACAGCGGUCUUGAAAGAUAAGGA
rnacentral:ncRNA from 1 species